UCUCUGUGUGAUGAUGAAAACAGAUCACGAGUCUCAUGUAAUCCAUUCUACUAAACCAUGUUGACAAUCGAGGCAUUUGUCUGAGAGAG